rnacentral:misc_RNA from 1 species
GAUGAAGAACGUAGCGAAAUGCGAUAAGUAAUGUGAAUUGCAGAAUUCAGUGAAUCAUCGAAUCUUUGAACGCACAUUGCGCCCCUUGGUAUUCCGAGGGGCAUGCCUGUUCGAGCGUCAUUAUCACCCCUCAAGCUUUGCUUGGUGUUGGGGCCUGCUGUAAUAGGCAGCCCUUAAAAUCAGUGGCGGUGCUUCAAGGCUCUAAGCGUAGUAAUUCUCCUCGCUAUAGUGUCUAGUGGUUGCCAGCCAGAACCCCCCAAUUUUCAUGAUUGACCUCGGAUCAGGUAGGGAUACCCGCUGAACUUUAGCAUAUCAAUAAGCGGAGGA